CUGUUUAAGGCCACCCGUUUAAGUUUGGUAUAUGGGAGGUCAAAUACCCAUGUUUGGAGAUUUUGUACUGUCUGGAUUAUUUUCCAGGGCGUAAGAACUGUUUUCCAAUAUUGUCAUGUUGGAAGAGGCCCUAAGUGGGUAAACCUUGUCCCAGAAUAAAGUCAUUUUUCUUUUUGCAGAAAUAUCAAUAGUCAGGUAAACAAAUUUAUUAAAUCCAACAGCAGGUAAUAGUCCAAAUAAAAAAGACAUCAGAAGAAAAAAAUAAUGUAGACAUCAAAGACAAAUGUGUGGAACAAGUUAAUAAAAAUAUUCAAGGGGCCAUUUGGAGAGUGCAACAGUGCAGCGAAUACAAACCAAAGUAUUAACUUUUGCCAAGUUUGUACAACCUCAUGAAACAGACACACUGAUCACAAACUAAGAGGGAUCCACAAAGGUGGAGGGUCACAUGAGCAGUGGACUCAUCACCUCAGCGGCUUAAGGCAGGAUAAGUGUAGGACCAAUCCAUCCAAGCCCCAUUUGCCUAUUGCUUCAAAUUCCCUCUUUAAAACCUAGAAUCGUAUUCGUUAGUGCAACAGGUAAGAGCAGUUAACCACAGAAUAAGGGCCAAGGACCAAAGUCAAAGGGAAGACACUUCUUCCAGAGCAAAUAUAUGUUUUUAGGGGGUUCGGGGGGCAGCAGUUGCUGAAUGGCUUCCUUUGGCAAUAUCCAAGAUUUGAAGGUAGCAGGAAAGGAUGGUAGAUGGUAGAAGUAGGUACCCAUGAAAGCAGGCUGGCUUUUCCAAGAAAAGGAGAAUGUGAUACCCUAGCACCUGAAUAAGAAGCAGAACUUGAUGUUUUCUCAAAGCUAUUCCAACCCUCCUGGCUUUUCUGCAAACAGUGUUGAAGCAUCAGUUUACUUUUUCUUUUUAAAAGGGGGGAAAUCAUGCCAGUCCUAACAGACAUAUAGUCCCAGUUCAAGGCCAGAUAUGCUGUAAUUAAGCCUACAAGGGGAAUAGAAUCUAAAGGGGAAAUAGUGGGAUUCCCCUCUAUAUGACUCAGAAGAGACUGGAAAUAAGAGAAGGAUCAAUGUCAUGUUCUCAGACAAGUCCCAAUAAACACACUCCAAUAACUUUAAUAGUCCUUUCAGCCAUUUAAACAAAUACUGUCAGAGUCCUCCAAGGAAGACCUUUGUCAGUUACCAAGAUGUUCAAAUUCAAGUCUACCAAGGAAGACCUUUGUCAGUUAUCAAGAUAUUCAAGUCAUAACCCAAAUAUAAACAGACACAAGAAAAGCAGCAAAGCAAGCAACUAGAGGGGAAAAAACAAUACAAAGUAACAGCUAACCCUAACAGCAGCUUUCUCCAAGUCCUUAUUAAUUGUAUAGUUCAGUCUACUUCUGGGCUCUGCUGCACUGAAGACCUGAUAAAAUACAGCAAACCAAACAGUCCCAAAUAUAUGUUUGUAAACUUUUAGCCAAGUUUUUAUCCCAGUAACUUCCCACCAUUGUUAAGUACAAUUGGGCAUUAGUACACAGUAUAUGAAGCUAUCAAGCGAACUAUGGGGUCUCACUACCCUACAGCCUCCAGACCUGAGGACUACAUUUUGGUACCAGCCCCUGGGCCAUCAAUGCUAUUGCAGACUAAUACUGUAUGCCUUAAUCCUUCUUCCAAGGUGCACCCAUCUUUGAGAAGUUCAACAUGUUCCCGCCAGUUUGAACCACCAGUGGUACAUGUUUGAGUCUCAUCAGUUGUACAAGGAAACCAAUGGGACUGUCAUGUGUGUAUGGCCCUAUUGUAAACUUAAUAUUGAAAAUACUGCUUCAUACAUUUCAA